CUUUCGUUCCACUGGCACCAAAUUUGCUCAGGCCAAUCUACACCCCAUGGCCAUCAAAAGUUGUACAAAUCAUGACGCUGCACCCCACGGUUUACGUUCUAGGGGGCGCCAAAGAUAACCCAAAAAUCCACAUUCUUAAAAGUCUUAUAACUUUUUAUUUUUGUCCUCACUGGCCUCCAAGUUUUCUAGGAUGAUGCAAUGUCCAGCCAUCAACACAUUUGUGAAGGAAUUUUUACUCCCCAAAAGAGCGCCCCCCCAUGGCAGGUGAAAAAAGUCCAUUUUUUCUUGUCCCCUAACAUGAAAAUACACAUUGUAGAGUGUCACGCCUGAACGCUUUGUCAUAUUGACACAAAAUUUGACAAUCACGUGUAUCUCAAUAAGAUCUACGAAAAAGUCAAAGAGCGCGUAUCUGUAUAAUGUACGGUUAAAGGGCUAUUUCGCAUUUUUUGCCGAUCCGCACACAUUGGAAUUUCGCUAACUCCUCCAAAGGCUUUCGUUCCACCGGCACCAAAUUUGCUCAGGUCAAUCUACACCCCAUGGCCAUUAAAAGUUGUACAAAUCAUGCCGCUGCACCCCACGGUUUAGGUUCUAGGGGGCGCCAAAGAUAACCCAAAAAUCCACAUUCUUAAAAGUCUUAUAACUUUUAAUUUUUGUCCUCACUGGCCUCCAAGUUUUCUAGGAUGAUGCAAUGUCCAGCCAUCAACACAUUUGUGAAGGAAUUUUUACUCCCCAAAAGAGCGCCCCCCCAUGGCAGGAGAAAAAAGUGCAUUUUUUCUUGUCCCCUAAGGUGAAAACACACAUUGUAGAGUGUCAUGCCUGAACGCUUUGUCAUAUUGACACAAAAUUUGACAAUCACGUGUAUCUCAAUAAGAUCUACGAAAAAGUCAAAGAGCGCGUAUGUGUAUAAUGUACGGUAAAAGGGCUAUUUUGCAUUUUUUGCCGAUUUGCACACAUUGGAAUGUGGCUAACUCCUCCUAAGGCUUUCGUCCCAAUGACACCAAAUUUGCUCAGGCCAAUCUACA